AUACCUACCUGGCAGGGGAGACACCAUGAUCAUGAAGGUGGUUUUCCUGGAGAGAGGCUCAUCCAUUGCAUUCUGGGUGUGCUGAACCCUGCGAUUUCCCCAAUUGUGGGAAACUUGACUGCAUAAUUUGUGGUAGUAUUUGUGAAUCUCCCAGAGAUCUUUGGUU